rnacentral:rRNA from 1 species
UACGAAGGGACCUAGCGUAGUUCGGAAUUACUGGGCUUAAAGAGUUCGUAGGUGGUUGAAAAAGUUGGUGGUGAAAUCCCAGAGCUUAACUCUGGAACUGCCAUCAAAACUUUUCAGCUAGAGUAUGAUAGAGGAAAGCAGAAUUUCUAGUGUAGAGGUGAAAUUCGUAGAUAUUAGAAAGAAUACCAAUUGCGAAGGCAGCUUUCUGGAUCAUUACUGACACUGAGGAACGAAAGCAUGGGUAGCGAAGAGGAUUAGAUACCCUCGUAGUCCAUGCCGUAAACGAUGUGUGUUAGACGUUGGAAAUUUAUUUUCAGUGUCGCAGCGAAAGCGAUAAACACACCGCCUGGGGAGUACGACCGCAAGGUUAAAACUCAAAUGAAUUGACGGGGACCCGCACAAGUAGUGGAGCAUGUGGUUUAAUUCGAAGAUACGCGCAGAACCUUACCAACACUUGACAUGUUCGUCGCGACUCUAAGAGAUUAGAGUUUUCGGUUCGGCCGGACGAAACACAGGUGCUGCAUGGCUGUCGUCAGCUCGUGUCGUGAGAUGUUGGGUUAAGUCCCGCAACGAGCGCAACCCUCACUUUUAGUUGCCAUCAUUAAGUUGGGCACUCUGAAAGAACUGCCAGUGAUAAGCUGGAGGAAGGUGGGGAUGACGUCAAGUCCUCAUGGCCCUUACGUGUUGGGCUACACACGUGCUACAAUGGUAUCUACAACAGGAAGCAAGACUGCGAAGUUAAGCAAAUCCCUAAAAGAUACCUCAGUUCGGAUUGCACUCUGCAACUCGAGUGCAUGAAGCUGGAAUUACUAGUAAUCGUGGAUCAGCGUGCCACGGUGAAUGCGUUCCCGGUGUCU